rnacentral:lncRNA from 1 species
GAACGGUCUGAGCCGUGUGGGGCCGGUGGAGGGGAGCCAGUGUGGAUGGGAGAGAUUUGUACCAUGCGCAGCGGAGCGAUGGUUUGGGGCUGAAGUAAGGCAUGUGCAGUGCUGGAGGCUGCAACUCUGUCCACCACAGCCUGAGGCGUGCAGGACAAACAGCAGUGCCUGAGUGCUGGAGUAUACCUGGCUGAUGCUGGGACAUCGAGCCAGGGGCAAGCUGCCAGGCUUGAAAACUGGCCUGACAUGACCUGAGUUGUUGAGCAAUGCUUUAAUCAUGCAAGCUGAAGGCUGUGGUCCUGCAGCUUCCUUGAGGUGUGGUGUUGGCUAUGCUGUGCUUGCGGUGCCCUGCCUGGGGCAGCAUGCUGCAGUGUCAGCACAGCAGCUCUGAGUUCGGCCGAGGAAGGAUCUGGAUGGCUCUACCCAGCAGAAAUGCAGUCGCAUGUCUCCCAGCCUCGUGGUCCAGAGCUGGAAUCGUGUCCCACACAGCUGAUGCUGCUUUUGGCCUCUGGUGCCUGCAGGCAGCCCUCAGGCUGCUGUGAAACCAGCUGUGCCCAGGUCCAUCAGCAUGCUCCAGGUACCACUGCCCCUGGAUCGUGAUGGGAUCCUAUUCCGGCUCCGUUUCACCACUCUGGCUGUUGGGACUGUGUUUUGCCCCUUGUUUGGUUUCCUUUUCUGCGUGAUUUGGUCUCUGCUCUUCCACUUCCAGGAGACAACAGCCACCCACUGCGGGG